rnacentral:rRNA from 1 species
AUUUCGAUGAUACGCGAGGAACCUUACCUGGGACUAGAAUGCUGGGAGACCGUGGGUGGAAAGCUCACUUUGUAGCAAUACACUGCCAGUAAGGUGCUGCAUGGCUGUCGUCAGCUCGUGCCGGUGAGGUGUUGGGUUAAGUUCCCGCAACGAGCGCAACCCCUAUCAACUAGUUGCCAUCAGGUUAAAGCUGGGAACUCUAGUGAAACUGCCGUCGUAAGACGCGAGGAAGGAGGGGAUGAUGUCAAGUCAUCAUGGCCUUUAUGCCCAGGGCUACACACGUGCUACAAUGGAGAGUACAAAGGGCUGCCACUUGGCAACAAGGCGCUAAUCCCAAAAAACUCUUCUCAGUUCAGAUUGGAGUCUGCAACUCGACUCCAUGAAGCUGGAAUCUCUAGUAAUCGUACUACUCAGCAAUGACAUACGGUGA